rnacentral:rRNA from 1 species
CCGGCUUAGUACGUGGGUGGGAGACCACCUGAGAAUCCUGG